AUUGAACGCUGGCGGCAUGCUUUACACAUGCAAGUCGAACGGUAACAGGCCGCAAGGUGCUGACGAGUGGCGAACGGGUGAGUAAUGCAUCGGAACGUGCCCAGUCGUGGGGGAUAACGCAGCGAAAGCUGUGCUAAUACCGCAUACGAUCUGUGGAUGAAAGCGGGGGACCUUCGGGCCUCGCGCGAUUGGAGCGGCCGAUGUCAGAUUAGGUAGUUGGUGGGGUAAAGGCUCACCAAGCCGACGAUCUGUAGCUGGUCUGAGAGGACGACCAGCCAGACUGGGACUGAGACACGGCCCAGACUCCUACGGGAGGCAGCAGUGGGGAAUUUUGGACAAUGGGCGCAAGCCUGAUCCAGCAAUGCCGCGUGCAGGAAGAAGGCCUUCGGGUUGUAAACUGCUUUUGUACGGAGCGAAAAGGCUCCCUCUAAUACAGGGGGCUCAUGACGGUACCGUAAGAAUAAGCACCGGCUAACUACGUGCCAGCCGCAGCAGUAACAC
rnacentral:rRNA from 1 species